rnacentral:miRNA from 2 species
GUGACAUCACAUAUACGGUGGC